CCUACGGGAGGCAGCAGUGAGGAAUAUUGGUCAAUGGCCGGAAGGCUGAACCAGCCAUGCCGCGUGAAGGUCAGUGCCCUAUGGGCGUUAAACUUCUUUUGUGCUGGAGCAAUAAUGGUCACGUGUGGCCAGACGAGAGUACCGUACGAAUAAGCAUCGGCUAACUCCGUGCCAGCAGCCGCGGUAAUACGGGGGAUGCAAGCGUUAUCCGGAUUUAUUGGGUUUAAAGGGUGCGUAGGCUGUGAGGUAAGUCAGCGGUGAAAUGCCCCCGCUCAACGGGGUGAAGUGCCAUUGAUACUGGCUGGCUGGAAUGCGGAUGCCGUGGGAGGAAUGUGUGGUGUAGCGGUGAAAUGCAUAGAUAUCACACAGAACACCGAUUGCGAAGGCAUCUCACGAAUCCGCGAUUGACGCUGAUGCACGAAAGCGUGGGUAUCAAACAGGAUUAGAUACCCGAGUAGUC
rnacentral:rRNA from 1 species